AUUUAGCUCAAUUGGAUAGAGCAACGAACUUUUAAUUCGUGUGUCGCGGGUUCAAAUCCCGCAAUAGCC
rnacentral:tRNA from 1 species